rnacentral:rRNA from 1 species
GAUGAACGCUGGCGGCGUGCCUAAUACAUGCAAGUCGAGCGAACAGACGAGGAGCUUGCUCCUCUGACGUUAGCGGCGGACGGGUGAGUAACACGUGGAUAACCUACCUAUAAGACUGGGAUAACUUCGGGAAACCGGAGCUAAUACCGGAUAAUAUAUUGCACCGCAUGGUUCAAUAGUGAAAGACGGUUUUGCUGUCACUUAUAGAUGGAUCCGCGCCGCAUUAGCUAGUUGGUAAGGUAACGGCUUACCAAGGCGACGAUGCGUAGCCGACCUGAGAGGGUGAUCGGCCACACUGGAACUGAGACACGGUCCAGACUCCUACGGGAGGCAGCAGUAGGGAAUCUUCCGCAAUGGGCGAAAGCCUGACGGAGCAACGCCGCGUGAGUGAUGAAGGUCUUCGGAUCGUAAAACGCUGUUAUUAGGGAAGAACAAAUGUGUAAGUAACUAUGCACGUCUUGACGGUACCUAAUCAGAAAGCCACGGCUAACUACGUG